GCAGUGGUAGCUCAGUAGGUAGAGCACGGGAUUGAAGAUCCUGGUGUCACUGGUUCAACUCCAGUCCUCUGCA
rnacentral:tRNA from 2 species